AUUUUUUAGCCUGUAAUUGCGGGGAGCAGUUUAACUGCACAUUCGAAAAACGAUGGUUCGCUACUUACAAGACUUGUAUAUGUCCGAAAGGUUAUGAAGAAGUAAAUGGAAAAUGUGUUGAUGCUUGUUCAUCCAGUCCUUGCGAGAAUGGAGGGACCUGCAGACUUACCGAAGAUUCGUAUGUGUGUGACUGUCCCAAAGAAUUUACUGGAAGGCGGUGCCAAACUGAGAAGUGCAGUUCUGCCAAUUGCGAGAAUGGAAAGUGCGUAGCAAGUGAAAAGGACAAGACUAAAUGUGUGUGUAAUCCUGGAUUUGCAAAGCAUCCUGAUGGACAUUGCCAGGCUUGUAAGUGCGGUAAAGAAUUCAACUGCACUUUCGAAAACCAUUGGUUUGCAAUAAACAAAAGAUGCAUUUGUCCUAAGAAUUACGUAGAAGAAAGGGG